AAGAGCUUGGGAGACACUCAGGAGGAAGCAGAGGGGAGAGGAAAUGCUACCUUUGGAGCCAACAACUAUGGAUGUGUGUCCAGAGGAAACCUGUGGAUUAAGCAAUGAUGCCUACAAAAAGACUAAUUUCCCAGUAAUCCAACUUAUUCCAAACACUCCACCCACAAGGCAGCAAGUGAGGGAAAAAAUAGAAUUCUGCUUGAAGAUGCUUUUCAGUCAACUCUCUCUAGCUCAUAAAUCAGUGCUUCUCCGAGUGUCAUGAACCCUGCACCCUCCUUGUCAAUGCUGAUUUCUGCACCCAUCUCCCAGUUACCAUCUGGAAUAGAAUCCAAUAGUGAUCCACCAAUGGACAGUUUUUGCUAUGAAGGAAGAAAGAGAGGACAGAUUUGAUGACAACAAAAGCAUCCCAGGAAUGUGUCCUGCAUGAGCUCUUCAGGCUGUGAAAUCUUGAAUUUCUACACCCAUCCUUGGCUGGCUUUUUCCAUGUGAGGCCAUAUAGAGUUGCUGCAGGUGAUGAGCAUCCUGAUGGGACUGAGCUCCACUAACAGGAGGACCACACGGUUUGCAGUAUCAGGGAUGAUAGAGUUUGAACCAGAUUAUAGAGCUCAUCAACUGAUCCACAUCUCAAAUGCUCCAUCUCUGGCAUAAGGUGUUUGUAAAUAAUAUGCAGGGCAUUUAUAAAUAUGAUGGGAUACUUAAUACCAAAAUUAACUAUAAGUUCAUUGCUGGGAUAGAAUAAAAUACAGAAAAUGAAUACAUAAAAUCAAUGUUACCAUAAAAUUAAAAUAUUUAAUAGCUUCAA